rnacentral:rRNA from 1 species
GUGCCAGCAGCCGCGGUAAUACGUAGGUGGCAAGCGUUGUCCGGAAUUAUUGGGCGUAAAGCGCGCGCAGGCGGUCCUUUAAGUCUGAUGUGAAAGCCCACGGCUCAACCGUGGAGGGUCAUUGGAAACUGGGGGACUUGAGUACAGAAGAGGAAAGCGGAAUUCCACGUGUAGCGGUGAAAUGCGUAGAGAUGUGGAGGAACCCCAGUGGGGAGGGGGGCUUUUUGGUCUGUAACUGACGUUGAGGCGGGAAAAGCGUGGGGAGCGACCAGGAUUAGAUACCUUGUUAUUCC